rnacentral:rRNA from 1 species
AGGGUUUGAUCCUGGCUCAGGAUGAACGCUGGCGGCGUGCCUAACACAUGCAAGUCGAGCGAAGCACUGAACUUUGAUCCUUCGGGUGAAGAGUUCUGUGACUGAGCGGCGGACGGGUGAGUAACACGUAGGUAACCUGCCUCACACAGGGGGAUAACAGUUAGAAAUGACUGCUAAUACCGCAUAAGCGCACAGGGCCGCAUGGCCCGGUGUGAAAAGCUCCGGCGGUGUGAGAUGGACCUGCGUCUGAUUAGCCAGUUGGCGGGGUAACGGCCCACCAAAGCGACGAUCAGUAGCCGGCCUGAGAGGGUGGACGGCCACAUUGGGACUGAGACACGGCCCAG